rnacentral:rRNA from 1 species
AGAGUUUGAUCAUGGCUCAGGAUGAACGCUAGCUACAGGCUUAACACAUGCAAGUCGAGGGGCAGCAUUUUAGUUUGCUUGCAAACUGAAGAUGGCGACCGGCGCACGGGUGAGUAACACGUAUCCAACCUGCCGAUAACUCCGGAAUAGCCUUUCGAAAGAAAGAUUAAUACCGGAUAGCAUACGAAUAUCGCAUGAUAUUUUUAUUAAAGAAUUUCGGUUAUCGAUGGGGAUGCGUUCCAUUAGUUGUUGGCGGGGUAACGGCCCACAAGACUACGAUGGAUAGGGGUUCUGAGAGGAAGGUCCCCCANAUUGGAACUGAGACACGGUCAAACUCCUACGGAGGCA